CACUGCACACAAGGAAGAAGAUAAAACCUCUGUCCUAAGAAACAUGUUGUAGCUAUUAAGAUGGACACAGAAGUGGGCUGUCUAAUCUAGGUGUGGAAGAGUUAAAUUCUCCUGUGGGACCUGGAGAUAACUGAUACCUGCACUUGUAUGAAUUAACUAUCAAGAACUGUCCACAUAUGAAUGCAGUUGCCUCGGAGAUGCACUGGAGGCCAAACAGCGGACACGAACUUUUAAUGAUGGAAGCCAAGAGAAGCAGAACAUGUGCAGCAUGCUGCGACUUGAGACAAAGGGGUGUGAGCAGACUGUGAGACAUGAUGGCUGUUGCCUAGGGCAGGAGAGAUGAAAUCUCAGAGGUUUUGGAGAAGAAGGCAGGAACCCCUCCUGAAAAUGCCCUGCCUCCAGUCCUCAAGAGCGCACCUCUACGGACCACGCAAGAGGGUUCUUCAGUUGACUUUUGCAGUUGCCAUGGUACUCAAGGGGAAAGAUGGUCCUUACAAGAGCCCAUGGGAACUAGGGCGGCUGCGAGUGUUGCUGCAUCCCCUGGCUGGAAGUGAUUUCUAUCAUGUGCAGGGUGUACAGUUUGGUUGAGUGGCUCUCAACACCACAGAAUCAUAGAACCUCAGGGUUGGAAGAGACCUCAGGAGGUCAUCUAGUCCAACCCCCUGCUCAAAACAGAACCAAU